ACUGCAAUAAUCAGAAGGCUGGAAAGAGACUGGGCUUCAGGAUCACUCAGGGAGGGAGUAUCACAGAGUUAGUUCAAAGACCCGAGAGCCUGGAAGGAGCUGAUUGAUGUACAAGGAGUCUUCUGACCUUUUUUCUUGAACCUUGCAGAACUGCCUUUCUUUGAGCUGGAAAAUUGCCUUUUACUUGGGGUUCAGAAGGAGCUGUGAUGUGAAGAGGGGGGCGUGGCUCUGCCCACAGACAGCUGGUUAAUUGAUCCACCAUAGCUGGAAUAACACCCUGAGAGGGAUAGCCUCUUAGUUCUUCUGAAACUCUGGAUAGAGAGACAG